GACACGACCGUACCGCAAACCGACACUGGUGCGCGAGAUGAGUAUUCUAAGGCGCUUGAGAGAACUCAGGAGAAGGAACUCGGCAAAUUGACACCGUAACUUCGGAAGAAGGUGUGCCUUUAGUAGGUGAACCAUUUACUUGGGGAGCCCAAUGAGGCUGCAAAAAAUCGGUGGCUGCAACUGUUUAUUAAAAACACAGCACUCUGCUAAGACGAAAGUCGACGUAUAGGGUGUGACGCCUGCCCGGUGCUGGAAGAUUAAAUGAUGGGGUGCAAGCUCUUGAUUGAAGUCCCAGUAAACGGCGGCCGUAACUAUAACGGUCCUAAGGUAGCGAAAUUCCUUGUCGGGUAAGUUCCGACCUGCACGAAUGGCGUAAUGAUGGCCACACUGUCUCCUCCUGAGACUCAGCGAAGUUGAAAUGUUUGUGAUGAUGCAAUCUCCCCGCGGAAAGAUGGAAAGACCCCAUGAACCUUUACUGUAGCUUUGUAUUGGACUUUGAACAGAUCUGUGUAGGAUAGGUGGGAGUCUUUGAAGUGUGGUCGCUAGAUCGCAUGGAGCCAACGUUGAAAUACCACCCUGGUGUGUUUGAGGUUCUAACCUAGGUCCAUUAUCUGGAUCGGGGACAGUGCAUGGUAGGCAGUUUGACUGGGGCGGUCUCCUCCCAAAGUGUAACGGAGGAGUUCGAAGGUACGCUAGGUACGGUCGGACAUCGUGCUAAUAGUGCAAUGGCAUAAGCGUGCUUAACUGCGAGACUGACAAGUCGAGCAGAUGCGAAAGCAGGACAUAGUGAUCCGGUGGUUCUGUAUGGAAGGGCCAUCGCUCAACGGAUAAAAGGUACUCUGGGGAUAACAGGCAGAUACCGCCCAAGAGUUCAUAUCGACGGCGGUGUUUGGCACCUCGAUGUCGGCUCAUCUCAUCCUGGGGCUGUAGCCGGUCCCAAGGGUAUGGCUGUUCGCCAUUUAAAGAGGUACGUGAGCUGGGUUUAAAACGUCGUGAGACAGUUUGGUCCCUAUCUUCCGUGGGCGCUGCAGAUUUGAGGAAGCCUGCUCCUAGUACGAGAGGACCGGAGUGGACGAACCUCUGGUGUAUCGGUUGUCACGCCAGUGGCAUUGCCGAGUAGCUAAGUUCGGAAGAGAUAACCGCUGAAAGCAUCUAAGCGGGAAACUCGUUUCAAGAUUAGAUCUGCCGGGGCCUUGAGCCCCCUAAAGAGUCGCUCAAGACCAGGACGUUGAUAGGUCAGGUGUGGAAGC
rnacentral:rRNA from 1 species